rnacentral:misc_RNA from 1 species
GAUGAAGAACGUAGCGAAAUGCGAUAAGUAAUGUGAAUUGCAGAAUUCAGUGAAUCAUCGAAUCUUUGAACGCACAUUGCGCCCGCCAGUAUUCUGGCGGGCAUGCCUGUUCGAGCGUCAUUUCAACCAUCAAGCCCCCGGCGUGUGUUGGGGACCUGCGGCUGCCGCAGGCCCUGAAAAGCAGUGGCGGGCUCGCUGUCACACCGAGCGUAGUAGCAUACAUCUCGCUCUGGGCGUGCUGCGGGUUCCGGCCGUUAAACCACCUUCAUAACCCAAGGUUGACCUCGGAUCAGGUAGGAAGACCCGCUGAACUUAAGCAUAUCAAUAAGCGGAGGA